AUUGAACGCUGGCGGCAGGCCUAACACAUGCAAGUCGAACGAGUGGCGGACGGGUGAGUAAUGUCUGGGAAACUGGCUGAUGGAGGGGGAUAACUACUGGAAACAGUAGCUAAUACCGCAUACCAGAGGAUGUGCCCAGAUGGGAUUAGGUUGUUGGUGGGGUAAAGGCUCACCAAGGCUACGAUCCCUAGCUGGUCUGAGAGGAUGACCAGCAACACUGUAACUGAGACACGGCCCAGACUCCUACGGGAGGCAGCAGUGGGGAAUAUUGCACAAUGGGGGCAACCCUGAUGCAGCCAUGCCGCGUGAAUGAAGAAGGCCUGCGGGUUGUAAAGUACUUUCAGUGGGGAGGCGUUACCCGCAGAAGAAGCACCGGCUAACUCCGUGCCAGCAGCCGCGGUAAUUC
rnacentral:rRNA from 1 species